rnacentral:misc_RNA from 1 species
GAGAUUACUCACUGUCAAUACAUCUGAUAAGCAUUGAUACUAUACUAAUACCUAUCUUAUAUUAAACUUAGUUCAAUAUGCAGAUGAAAUUGGUUUGAGUAGGGAAGUCAGACUAUGCCAGAUCGCAUUGUCAUCAUUCCCAACAUGUAGAACCUGUGCACAUACAUCAAUGAGGCUUCCUUGAAGUCUAGAAUGUAAGCCUAGUGAAUACACUAAAUACAAAGUCAGAAUUAUUGCAUAUUUUUGUUUCCAAAAAUGCUAAGCAGUUGCAGAACUACAGAACUCUGGAGUAGUACACAGAACACAUACUCU